AGAGUUUGAUCAUGGCUCAGGAUAAACGCUGGCGGCGCACAUAAGACAUGCAAGUCGAACGGAAGUCGUUAUAAAAUAGAUUGAAGAUUUAUCUGAUUGAAGUUUUAUAACAAUGGCUUUAGUGGCGGACUGGUGAGUAACGCGUGAGCAACCUGCCUACUAGAGGGGAAUAACAGUGAGAAAUCAUUGCUAAUACCGCAUAUGCCGUGAACACCACAUGAUGAAAACGGGAAAGGAGCAAUUCGCUAGUAGAUGGGCUCGCGUCUGAUUAGAUAGUUGGUGGGGUAACGGCCUACCAAGUCAACGAUCAGUAGCCGGACUGAGAGGUUGAACGGCCACAUUGGGACUGAGAUACGGCCCAGACUCCUACGGGAGGCAGCAGUCGGGAAUAUUGCGCAAUGGAGGAAACUCUGACGCAGUGACGCCGCGUAUAGGAAGAAGGUUUUCGGAUUGUAAACUAUUGUCGUUAGGGAAGAUACAAGACAGUACCUAAGGAGGAAGCUCCGGCUAACUACGUGCCAGCAGCCGCGGUAAUACGUAGGGAGCAAGCGUUAUCCGGAUUUAUUGGGUGUAAAGGGUGCGUAGACGGGACAACAAGUUAGUUGUGAAAUCCCUCGGCUCAACUGAGGAACUGCAACUAAAACUAUUGUUCUUGAGUGCUGGAGAGGAAAGUGGAAUUCCUAGUGUAGCGGUGAAAUGCGUAGAUAUUAGGAGGAACACCGGUGGCGAAGGCGACUUUCUGGACAAUAACUGACGUUGAGGCACGAAAGUGUGGGGAGCAAACAGGAUUAGAUACCCUGGUAGUCCACACCGUAAACGAUGGAUACUAGGUGUAGGGAACGAUUUCAUUUUCUGUGCCGCCGC
rnacentral:rRNA from 1 species